rnacentral:rRNA from 1 species
UACGAAGGGUGCAAGCGUUACUCGGAAUUACUGGGCGUAAAGCGUGCGUAGGUGGUUUGUUAAGUCUGAUGUGAAAGCCCUGGGCUCAACCUGGGAAUUGCAUUGGAUACUGGCAGGCUAGAGUGCGGUAGAGGAUGGCGGAAUUCCCGGUGUAGCGGUGAAAUGCGCAGAUAUCAGGAGGAACACCGGUGGCGAAGGCGGUUCUCUGGGCCUUACCUGACACUGAGGAGCGAAAGCGUGGGGAGCGAACAGG